GCCCUCAGGCAUUUGGGCAAUGGGUUAGUGCGUCUGGCUGUUAACCAGAAGGCUGGUGGUUCAAGCCUACCCAGGGAUAGCUGUGGGCA